rnacentral:lncRNA from 1 species
AGAUGAUUUUCUUUAGUUAAGAAGUUAAUUAAGAUGAUGAUGAUGAUGAUGAUGAGAAGUUAUUGAUCAGAAGGUUACAAAAAUGGGGAAAGAAAUGGUGGGGGAAGCCCUAUUUGCGCAUUCUGUCAUGCACGAUAAUAAUAAAUAAUGUAAGUAUACAAAUUACAGUGAUGAUGAUGAUAGCAACUUGAAAACUUUUAUCAUGGGUGUCCUCUCAAUUUCAUAAACAGUCCUACCAUAUAUACACGAGAGAGGAGA